UGGGUCUAAUACCGGAUAUGACCUGCUGUUGCAUGACGGUGGGUGGAAAGUUUUUCGGCUGAGGAUGGGCCCGCGGCCUAUCAGCUUGUUGGUGGGGUGAUGGCCUACCAAGGCGACGACGGGUAGCCGGCCUGAGAGGGCGACCGGCCACACUGGGACUGAGAUACGGCCCAGACUCCUACGGGAGGCAGCAGUGGGGAAUAUUGCGCAAUGGGCGAAAGCCUGACGCAGCGACGCCGCGUGGGGGAUGACGGCCUUCGGGUUGUAAACCUCUUUCGACCGGGACGAAGGGUGACUGACGGUACCGGUAGAAGAAGCACCGGCCAACUACGUGCCAGCAGCCGCGGUAAUACGUAGGGUGCGAGCGUUGUCCGGAAUUAUUGGGCGUAAAGAGCUCGUAGGCGGUGUGUCGCGUCGGUCGUGAAAACUUGGGGCUCAACCCUGAGCGUGCGGUCGAUACGGGCAUACUUGAGUUCGGCAGGGGAGACUGGAAUUCCUGGUGUAGCGGUGAAAUGCGCAGAUAUCAGGAGGAACACCGGUGGC
rnacentral:rRNA from 1 species